rnacentral:rRNA from 1 species
GUCCACGCCGUAAACGAUGGGUGCUAGGUGUCGCGGGCUUUGACCCCUGCGGUGCCGUAGCUAACGCAUUAAGCACCCCGCCUGGGGAGUACGGCCGCAAGGCUAAAACUCAAAGGAAUUGACGGGGGCCCGCACAAGCGGUGGAGCAUGUGGUUCAAUUCGACGCAACGCGCAGAACCUUACCUGGGCUAGAAAAUGCAAGAACCUGGUUGAAAGAUCGGGGUGCUCUUCGGAGAGCUUGUAGUUAGGUGCUGCAUGGCUGUCGU